UUGUCUCAAAGAUUAAGCCAUGCAUGUCUAAGUACAAGCUAAAAUAAAGUGAAACCGCGAAAGGCUCAUUAAAUCAGUUAUGGUUCCUUAGACCGUACCCACAUUUACUUGGAUAACUGUGGUAAUUCUAGAGCUAAUACAUGCAAACAGAGCUCCAACCGGAGACGGAAGGAGUGCUUUUAUUAGAUCAAAACCAAUCGGUAGACGGGUCCGUUACGGCGGUCUCCGUUUAUCGUACACCAAAUGGUGACUCUGAAUAACUUUUGCUGAUCGCACGGUCUCGCACCGGCGACGCAUCUUUCAAAUGUCUGCCUUAUCAACUGUCGAUGGUAGGAUCUGCGCCUACCAUGGUUGUAACGGGUAACGGGGAAUCAGGGUUCGAUUCCGGAGAGGGAGCCUGAGAAACGGCUACCACAUCCAAGGAAGGCAGCAGGCGCGCAAAUUACCCACUCCCAGCACGGGGAGGUAGUGACGAAAAAUAACGAUACGGGACUCAUCCGAGGCCCCGUAAUCGGAAUGAGUACACUUUAAAUCCUUUAACAAGGACCAAUUGGAGGGCAAGUCUGGUGCCAGCAGCCGCGGUAAUUCCAGCUCCAAUAGCGUAUAUUAAAGUUGUUGCGUUUAAAAAGCUCGUAGUUGAAUCUGUGUGUCGCACUGUCGGUUCACCGCCCGCGGUGUCAACUGGCACGUUGCGAGACGUCCUGCCGGUGGACUGUAGGUAUAUCAUUUCGGUGGUAUGCCAAGGUCCGGUUUUUUGUUAAAAAUCCUGUCCUGGUGCUCUUGAUUGAGUGUCUCGGCAGGCUGGCACGUUUACUUUGAACAAAUUAAAGUGCUCAAAGCAGGCGAAAAUUAUGCUUAAAUAGUGUGUGCAUGGAAUAAUAUAAUAGGACCUCGGUUCUAUUUUGUUGGUUUUCGGAACAUUCCGAGGUAAUGAUUAAUAGGGACAGAUGGGGGCAUUCGUAUUGCGACGUUAGAGGUGAAAUUCUUGGAUCGUCGCAAGACGGACUAAAGCGAAAGCAUUUGCCAAAGAUGUUUUCAUUAAUCAAGAACGAAAGUCAGAGGCUCGAAGGCGAUCAGAUACCGCCCUAGUUCUGACCAUAAACGAUGCCAGCUAGCGAUCCGUCGACGUUCCUCCGAUGACUCGACGGGCAGCUUCCGGGAAACCAAAGCUUUUGGGUUCCGGGGGAAGUAUGGUUGCAAAGCUGAAACUUAAAGGAAUUGACGGAAGGGCACCACCAGGAGUGGAGCCUGCGGCUUAAUUUGACUCAACACUGGAAACCUCACCAGGCCCAGACACCGAAAGGAUUGACAGAUUGAGAGCUCUUUCUUGAUACGGUGGGUGGUGGUGCAUGGCCGUUCUUAGUUGGUGGAUUGAUUUGUCUGCUUAAUUGCGAUAACGAACGAGACUCUAGCCUAUUAAAUAGACGUUACUUACCGGUAUCUCGAAGGUCGUGGCUACCGCUUCAUUCGUCACGGGCAUUUUUCAUACAACGUACAACUUGUUGUGCCUGUAUGAUGUGUUCUGUGUGCGUUAUGUUCGGUGGUUCAUGGUUUUUACUACCGGCGUACAUAUGAAUCUUCUUAGAGGGACAGGCGACUUCUAGUCGCACGAGAUUGAGCAAUAACAGGUCUGUGAUGCCCUUAGAUGUUCUGGGCCGCACGCGCGCUACAAUGAAGGAAUCAGCGUGUCUUCCCUGGCCGAGAGGUCCGGGUAACCCGCUGAACCUCCUUCGUGCUUGGGAUUGGGGCUUGCAAUUGUUCCCCAUGAACGAGGAAUUCCCAGUAAGCGCGAGUCAUAAGCUCGCGUUGAUUACGUCCCUGCCCUUUGUACACACCGCCCGUCGCUACUACCGAUUGAAUUAUUUAGUGAGGUCUUCAGACUGGCACCCGGUGGCGUUUCUAACA
rnacentral:rRNA from 1 species